rnacentral:rRNA from 1 species
UACGGAGGAUGCGAGCGUUAUCCGGAUUUAUUGGGUUUAAAGGGCGCGUAGGCGGGCUUUUAAGUCAGCGGUAAAAAUUCGGGGCUCAACCCCGUCCGGCCGUUGAAACUGGGGGUCUUGAGUGGGCGAGAAGAAGGCGGAAUGCGUGGUGUAGCGGUGAAAUGCAUAGAUAUCACGCAGAACCCCGAUUGCGAAGGCAGCCUUCCGGCGCCCUACUGACGCUGAGGCACGAAAGUGCGGGGAUCGAACAGG